AUAAGCAGACAGGUUAUGACACGCUGCUAUACUUUGUCCAUUUUCAGCUCACCUGCUUAGAGUAAAGUCCUAAAAAGUCUACACAUUAAAAACGCACCGCUUCCAUCAUUUAUACGACUGAGGGAAAGCCACUCAAAAAUGUCUGAGAGUAUUUAUGGCAAUGUAAAUCCUGACAGAACAUGGGAUAUGGACAGACGCACCAAGGCAAACCAUACACCUCAACACACAGGAAGUGAUUGAGUGCAGAUCAGAAGCUCCAGAGCAGCUGCAGUGUGUUUGUUGCUGCUGUGUGUUUUUCUGCUGACUGCAGUCAUAGUGCUGUGUGUCCACGUCCAUACAAAGAACACAAACCACAGAGAAGAGACACACAAACUACUAACCAAGAUUGACAGCCUCACAGAACAGAGUGACCUGCUCAAUCAAGAGAGAAAUAAACUGCAGAAGAUUCUCAAUGAAACAGAUGGAUGGUUACACUCUAACUUCAGCUUUUACUUCAUGUCCUCAAUGAAGAAGAGCUGGAAUGAGAGCAGAAGAUACUGUACAGAGAGAGGAGCAGAUCUGAUCAUCAUAAACAACAGAGAGAAACAAGAUUUUGUUACAAAAAUUACUGAUAAAAGAGAAUUCUGGAUUGGUGUGACUGACAUCGUGGAAGAGGGCACAUGGAAAUGGGUUGAUGGCACCAGCGUGACCUCUGGGUUCUGGGCAUCCAGUGGACACAUAAGAGAGCCAAAUGGAGAAACACUAGAGAAUUGUGCUGUGACUUAUUUAAAAAAGAACCCUGAAUUAAUAGGGUGGAUUGAUGUUAAUUGCAAUGAUGCUUAUCAAUGGAUCUGUGAGAAGAGUUUUUGGCCCUAAGAACAGCACACACUUGUUUCACAGGGUUUUAAUUUUUUUGUUUUUGUGUGUUUAGCUCAAAUAAGAUGUUAAGUUAAAAUUGUUGUUUAAUGAUUUUUUUUUUUCAUUUGCUUGUUUCUUCAAGUUUUAGUUUUAGCUAAUGAUAAUAACCCUGUUAUAGCCCUGACAAAACACAUUUUAACCAGCAAAUCAAGGUCUUCGGGAUCACUAGAAGAUUCUAGGCAGGUGAGUUACAGCUCACGUCUUCAGGACUGAACACUCCUGGUCUAGAAGUAAUACCUGUUUAGGCCAAUACAUGUAUUCAUUUGUAGUCACUUAAUGAAAACUGUUGUAUUUUGCUGCUACAACAACAAUAACAACAAAAAACUAUUCAUACUAUUCAACUAUUCCUACAUAUGUGGCUUACCAUUAUUUAGAUGUUUGCUUUUUUGAAAGCUAAACCCCAGAUUGCUUUACUUUAUUUAUAUUUAGCAUGCUGUUUACAUUUUACAAUUAUGUUAUUUUCAUUAUUAAAGAUGAUGAAUGGCUCCACAUCACUAGUC